rnacentral:tRNA from 1 species
AUUUAAAUAAUUUAAUAAAAAUAUUGAUUUGUGAUAUCAAAAAUAUACUAAAAUAUUUUAAAUA